AGAUUAUGACUAACCCAAUUGUGUUAAAGCAUUAAUCUUUAGUCUUCUCCAUAUGUAAUUGUUUAAUUGUGUGUUAAACUGUUAACAGGUUACAGAUGAUAUUGUUAGUAUUUGUUUAAUUAUACUUCCAAUGUGUUUAUUAGUAUUAUGUGCCAGCCUCGUUGUUUUUCAAGAACCAAAUCCGUACUAAUAAUUAUUUUUGAUAAUGGGAGACAAUGAAAUUAAACUGAAAACCUUUGACCAAAGAUUGAAUUAGAUUUAAAAUUAUUUUAUGUAUAUAUAGUAGAGAAUAUUUUGGUUUCUCCAUUA